UACGUAGGGUGCGAGCGUUAAUCGGAAUUACUGGGCGUAAAGCGUGCGCAGGCGGUUGUGCAAGUCCGAUGUGAAAUCCCCGGGCUUAACCUGGGAAUGGCAUUUGUGACUGCACGGCUAGAGUGUGUCAGAGGGGGGUAGAAUUCCACGUGUAGCAGUGAAAUGCGUAGAUAUCAGGAGGAACACCGAUGGCGAAGGCAGGUCUCUGGGCUGACACUGACGCUCAUGCACGAAAGCGUGGGGAGCAAACAGG
rnacentral:rRNA from 1 species